rnacentral:lncRNA from 1 species
ACUCAAGCGUUUUCCUUCUCUUGUCAUGGUAACUCUUCUAACAACUAUGAGAAACCUUCAUCUUCUCUCUGAUCAUUUUAAUCUUAUUAGUAGUCUGUUGAACUAUCUCAGGUCCAACCACUGCACUCUCUCCAUUUUCGUACCAACACAAAGGCGUCCUACACUUCUACCAUACAAAGCUUCAAACGGAGUCAUACCAAUACUCGAAUGAAAACUAUUGUUAUAAGUAAACUCAAUCAAAGGCAAAUAACUAUCCCAAGC